AAAUUGAAGAGUUUGAUCAUGGCUCAGAUUGAACGCUGGCGGCAGGCCUAACACAUGCAAGUCGAGCGGAAACGACACUAACAAUCCUUCGGGUGCGUUAAUGGGCGUCGAGCGGCGGACGGGUGAGUAAUGCCUAGGAAAUUGCCUUGAUGUGGGGGAUAACCAUUGGAAACGAUGGCUAAUACCGCAUAAUGCCUACGGGCCAAAGAGGGGGACCUUCGGGCCUCUCGCGUCAAGAUAUGCCUAGGUGGGAUUAGCUAGUUGGUGAGGUAAUGGCUCACCAAGGCGACGAUCCCUAGCUGGUCUGAGAGGAUGAUCAGCCACACUGGAACUGAGACACGGUCCAGACUCCUACGGGAGGCAGCAGUGGGGAAUAUUGCACAAUGGGCGAAAGCCUGAUGCAGCCAUGCCGCGUGUAUGAAGAAGGCCUUCGGGUUGUAAAGUACUUUCAGUUGUGAGGAAGGGGGUAG
rnacentral:rRNA from 2 species